UUUCCAGCAGUUCCAAAAUAUUAGUCAAUGCUCGAAAGAGUGAACUAGCUAACUGAAAUCAAUUAAAUAAUUGAUAACAUAAGGGAAAAUAAUGAUAUUACCUUAUUAUUAGUGUCGUCCAAAACUGGUGCCAGAAGACUCGGUAAGGCCAGAGACACAAACGUUAAUCGUCUUAAUCAGGCGUAAAGGGUUUGUAGGCGGCUUUAAAAUUUACUUAUAAAAAUAAAAUAAUAAGUAAAGAAUAAAAGCUAGAAUCAAAUAGAGGAUAUAUGAAAGAAUGCUUAGAGUAGGUCUGAUAUCCUUAGAUACUAAGUAGAAUAUUAAAGGCGAAAGCUUUUUUCCAUUAAUGAUUGACGCUCAGAAACGAAGGUGAGGAAAGGAAAUAGGAUUAGAUACCCAGAAUACCCCUCUCUGUCAACGAUGAAUGGUAGUUAUUAGUAAAAAAUUAUUAAUAGCAAUGUUAACACGAUAACCGAUUCCGCCUUGUGAGUACAACUGCAAAGUUGAAAACAAAAAAAUGAGUCGUUCGGAGCAUC
rnacentral:rRNA from 1 species